AAUAUGAGCCACUUGUUGAAGAGGUCCAACUUCUACAUGGAAAUGCUGAGUAUGCACAUGUAAAGCUACCUGAUGGAAGAGAAACCACAGUAUCAACACGUCAUCUUGCUCCAGUUGGAGAGUACGAAAACAGAGAUCACGAAGAACAAACCGAUUCUGAAAAUGAUGAAAAUUCUCAAUUACCAACUUCCGAACCUGAACUUGAAUACUUCCAUAAUCCUCAAGCAACCCAAAACCAAGAAAACGAAACUAGUACUACUGCCGAGAGCUUACAACCUAGACAACAGACUACUGGACAAGAAAAUCAAAAUACAUAUCCAAGAAGAAGUUUUAGAAAUAGAAGACCUCCUAAUUAUUUGAAUGACUACAUUCAUUAACUCUUUGGGGGGAAGAAUGUAGUAUAACAACAUAUGUUUUGAAUUUGUUAUUACUGUUACUAAGUCUCCAAACAAACUCAUUCCAAUUCGAAACCUGUAUAGUUCAAGUUAUUAAAAACCUUUCUUAAGGUAUUAAAUACUUUUUCGUGUUUACUCUCAUUCCUAUUACAGUGGCCAUCAAUUUAAACUUGAGAUAAAAUUUAAUAUACUUAUUGAAGAAACUUGAAGUACAGAGCAACUUGAAAAAUGACUUUUCUCUGCAGUUUCCAGGUUUCUCUGUUGCAAAAUAUGGAGUACCUAGUCUGUGGAAAGAUCGCCAAAGUUGAGCUCAGAAGGGUAGAUGUCAAUAAUCUAUUCACAGAUUGAAAUUGUGAAACAUGAGAGUCCAUUUGAACAACUUGACAUUGAAAUGAAGAAUGAACCUUCUCAUAGCAAUACAGCUAUUCAUCAGGCAAGUAUUCGCAUUCUCAACGUACCUAUUCACUCCGUGAGGAAGACAGUUUUAAAAAUAGCUAUAUUUCUUGGUUUAUCAAGUAGCUUAUUGAAUGCUAUCCUUUCUUCUAAUUUCAUCUUUAGUUGAUUCUCAGAUGUGGAGAGAAAUAUCAUAGGCCUAUUGAAAAUCAUGUGAUGAGAAAUAUGAGAUUCAAAAACCAUGUUAAGAGAAGUAUGAGAUUCAACUAUCAUUGUACUAUAUAAGUAGGUAACAAAUGCAUUUCAUUAG